GCCCGGUCCGACCUUGAACCGUGA
rnacentral:snRNA from 1 species